rnacentral:rRNA from 1 species
UGGGGAAUUUUGGACAAUGGGCGAAAGCCUGAUCCAGCAAUGCCGCGUGUGUGAAGAAGGCCUUCGGGUUGUAAAGCACUUUUGUCCGGAAAGAAAUCCUUGGCUCUAAUACAGUCGGGGGAUGACGGUACCGGAAGAAUAAGCACCGGCUAACUACGUGCCAGCAGCCGCGGUAAUACGUAGGGUGCAAGCGUUAAUCGGAAUUACUGGGCGUAAAGCGUGCGCAGGCGGUUUGCUAAGACCGAUGUGAAAUCCCCGGGCUCAACCUGGGAACUGCAUUGGUGACUGGCAGGCUAGAGUAUGGCAGAGGGGGGUAGAAUUCCACGUGUAGCAGUGAAAUGCGUAGAGAUGUGGAGGAAUACCGAUGGCGAAGGCAGCCCCCUGGGCCAAUACUGACGCUCAUGCACGAAAGCGUGGGGAGCAAACAGGAUUAGAUACCCUGGUAGUCCACGCCCUAAACGAUGUCAACUAGUUGUGGGGAUUCAUUCCUUAGUAACGUAGCUAACGCGUGAAGUUGACCGCCUGGGGAGUACGGUCGCAAGAUUAAAAC